rnacentral:tRNA from 1 species
GUCAGGAUGGCCGAGUGGUCUAAGGCGCUGCGUUAAGGUCGCAGUCUCCCCUAGAGGCGUGGGGUCAAAUCACACUUCUGGCA